rnacentral:misc_RNA from 1 species
GAUGAAGAACGCAGCGAAAUGCGAUAAGUAAUGUGAAUUGCAGAAUUCAGUGAAUCAUCGAAUCUUUGAACGCAACUUGCGCCUUUUGGUAUUCCGAAAGGCAUGCCUGUUUGAGUGUCAUAUAAACCUCACCUCUACUGUUUUUCAUUAGACAUGUGGACUGGUGCUUUGGGCGUCUGCCGUUUACUCUGGCUCGCCUUAAAUGUCUAAGUGGAAUGCGUAAUAAGUCUUCGCAACCCUCCACUCUAAUACAAACUUUUAUAUUCUGACCUCAAAUCAGGUAGGACUACCCGCUGAACUUAAGCAUAUCAUAAGCGGAGGA